rnacentral:rRNA from 1 species
AAGUCGGAAUCGCUAGUAAUCGCGAAUCAGCAUGUCGCGGUGAAUACGUUCUCGGGUCUUGUACACACCGCCCGUCACACCAUGGAAGUGGAUUGCACCAGAAGUAGAUAGUCUAACCUUCGGGAGGGCGUUUACCACGGUGUGCUUCAUGACUGGGGUGAAGUCGUAACAAGGUAGCCGUAGGGGAACCUGUGGCUGGAUCACCUCCUU